rnacentral:rRNA from 1 species
UGCAAGUCGAGCGGAUGAAGGGAGCUUGCUCCUGGAUUCAGCGGCGGACGGGUGAGUAAUGCCUAGGAAUCUGCCUGGUAGUGGGGGACAACGUUUCGAAAGGAACGCUAAUACCGCAUACGUCCUACGGGAGAAAGCAGGGGACCUUCGGGCCUUGCGCUAUCAGAUGAGCCUAGGUCGGAUUAGCUAGUUGGUGAGGUAAUGGCUCACCAAGGCGACGAUCCGUAACUGGUCUGAGAGGAUGAUCAGUCACACUGGAACUGAGACACGGUCCAGACUCCUACGGGAGGCAGCAGUGGGGAAUAUUGGACAAUGGGCGAAAGCCUGAUCCAGCCAUGCCGCGUGUGUGAAGAAGGUCUUCGGAUUGUAAAGCACUUUAAGUUGGGAGGAAGGGUUGUAGAUUAAUACUCUGCAAUUUUGACGUUACCGACAGAAUAAGCACCGGCUAACUCUGUGCCAGCAGCCGCGGUAAUACAGAGGGUGCAAGCGUUAAUCGGAAUUACUGGGCGUAAAGCGCGCGUAGGUGGUUCGUUAAGUUGGAUGUGAAAUCCCCGGGCUCAACCUGGGAACUGCAUCCAAAACUGGCGAGCUAGAGUAUGGUAGAGGGUGGUGGAAUUUCCUGUGUAGCGGUGAAAUGCGUAGAUAUAGGAAGGAACACCAGUGGCGAAGGCGACCACCUGGACUGAUACUGACACUGAGGUGCGAAAGCGUGGGGAGCAAACAGGAUUAGAUA